UACGAAGGGUGCAAGCGUUACUCGGAAUUACUGGGCGUAAAGCGUGCGUAGGUGGUGAGUUAAGUCUGUCGUGAAAGCCCCGGGCUCAACCUGGGAAUGGCGAUGGAUACUGGCUCGCUAGAGUGCGGUAGAGGAGAGUGGAAUUCCUGGUGUAGCGGUGAAAUGCGCAGAUAUCAGGAAGAACACCCGUGGCGAAAGCGGCUCUCUGGAACGGUACUGACGCUGAGACGCGAAAGCGUGGGGAGCGAACAGG
rnacentral:rRNA from 1 species